CAAAUGCCCCGAUUAUACAUGUUCCUCAAGCGAAUAUUACACAGGAUGUCACCCAAAAGGAUGCGACAUAAAAAGCUGCCCGAAUUAUCCGAACGCUUAUUGCUGUAACAAUUAUUGUGGCGGAUGCAAUGCUGUGUUUUAUACUAGAGGAAAAGGUAGAAAGAUACCAUAUUCACAGUGUGACAGUGAUGGAAAGUAAAUAUGAAGACAAGAAACAGAGUGAAUAUUUAUAGAAAAGGACAAA